AUUAAUCUCGUGUAGGGGUAGCAUGGGUAAGAAAUGCCCCUCAACUAAUAAUUAAAGGUAAGCUGUGGGAUUCAUGUAGAUUUAAAUGCCUUAAUAUACUCAGGUAAAUAAAUAUAUAAUUAGAAAAUAUGUCAGGUUCAGGUGACUUAAUUUGUACCAGUAAAUAGCCUAGAUUUGUUUUGAAGUCAAUCAAUUAUGAUACCCAAAUUACAAAACAGAUGUAACAAGAAACAACACAUUAGAAAGAAGGAGAAGUAAAAACCUACUGAAACAUGAUUAAAAAUGGUAGAUAAAAAUGAUAAAAGGGCUAAAGAUUCCAUACAUCACAGGAUAUAAGCGAAAAAUAUAUAUAUUUAUGUAAAAAUAUAUGCGAUGAGUAUUUUUUGAUAUAUAAUUAAUUCUUACAUAAUUUGUCGAGCAAAACUUAGAAAUUAGAAAUUAGUCUUUAUUUCUCUGCUUUAAUGUAUUGUAAAUAUUGCUGGUUAGUAUUGCUUCUGGACACUGGAUAUAUUUUCUUUAUUUUUUUAUCACUAGAAAACAAAACAGAAUCAAUAAUAGGUAAUACUUAAUCAAAAAACAUUUUAAAAAAUGACGUGUUUUUUGUUAUAUAACUCAGAAGAUAACAGAGAAAGAGUGGGACGUCUUUCUGUCAUGAAGAUCUUGGGUUAGAUGGGGGACGCUGUUACAUCAUAGGGGGUCUGCGUGGCCCUCUGUUGGUCAACUGAGAUUCCUGCGUGUCUAUUUAUAUCUCCAGUGCUUUGUGGAAAUGGGAAAAUAAAUUUUGCAAUUCGCAGUAAGAAAACAAUUUUGAAUUAUUUAAGGAAACGAUCUUAUUCAAGUUAUUGCGUCUUGAAUUAUGUUUAAAAAAAACACACAUUUGUUUGUCCGCGACAUGUAAAAUAAAAAAAAGACCACCAGUGGGCGCUGUUUCCCCAAAAGCAUGCAGAACCACAUCCGUAUCUCUUCGCCACACACACAAUAAGGUUACAUUAAGUCAACAUUUCUUUAAAUAUGUGAUGCAUUCAGGUGCACAUGUGUUACUUUUGCUUGAUUUAAUCAUUUGUAGACUCUAUGCAUCUUUUCCAAAGGUAAGGUGUCAUCUCUCAAAACAAACCAGUCCUCUGGCAGAAGAGCUGCAGAUCAAGAUGGUAAAGAUACGUUUUAGGAGAAAGUGUAUAAAGUAUGCAUUUUGAGUUCUGCAGAAACACACAGAUUGUUUGCACCAGCAUUAAACCAAAACAAACAACAAUAUGCCCAGAUAGGUCGUGCUGUGCUACCUCCAAAACUUUUCACUCAGUAUCUGACAUUGUCUGAUAUUUAAAUUGAAGAACAGUUUCCUACUCCCUCUCUCUCUCUUUCACUCUGUGGAGCCGUACACGAAGAAGGAGCUGUCAGCCGUCUCUCUGCCCGACAUCAUCUCUACCUACUAAGUGACGGCUGCCGAGAACAUCCCUCUCCGCUUCCUCUACCCCAACAUCCCAAAAGACAAGGCCUCGGGAAAUACUACCCCAAACCCACAGAGACUCAGGAGCCCAUGAAUGUGGAGAACAAUCCAGAGAGGAGCGGCUACAUGCAGACAGAGCUCAUUUCUGUCUCUGAAGUGUGAGCAGAGAAUGUCACUUUUUAAACACAUGUCAAAUAUUUUAUUGGUAAUGCAUUGAGCAGAUUUAAUUUGGAUUUGCUUUCUGUUCAGACAUCCGUCCAGACUGCAGGACAACAUGUUGCCCAUGUCUCCUGAUGACUACAGAGACAUUGAUGCUGUAACCAACAAUCUGCUUGGAUUUGAAGAGUUUGAUGUUCAGACACUUUGGAGAACGACAGGGAGAGGAAGAGAGAAACUGGAGAAACUUUCUGCGACACUUCCUGUUGGAGCUUCCGGUAAUCACGCCCAGGUGUGUUCAGGUGUUCUCGGGUGUAUUUAUCAUUGUUUCGAGCAGGUAAGCGGUGCGGACCUCGGGCAGCCUGGCUGUGGAUCAAAGCGGUGGAAGAAGAAGGAGCCGGGGAAGGAGAGAUGAAGUCUAGAUACUCAGAACUCUGUCGACGUCUUCCAGGAGGAUCCCCGGUCGGUGACCGUCUUCCUGCUCAGAGCUGCUGGUUGAGUGUGUGAAGAACAAGGACUUAAAGAAG